GAUGAACGCUGGCGGCGUGCUUAACACAUGCAAGUCGAACGGUGAAACAGGAGCUUGAUCCUGCGGAUCAGUGGCGAACGGGUGAGUAACACGUGGGUAACCUGCCCCAGCCUCUGGGAUAAGCGUUGGAAACGACGUCUAAUACCGGAUACGAGACGAGAAGGCAUCUUAAUCGUCUGGAAAGAAUUUCGGUCUGGGAUGGACUCUCGGCCUAUCAGCUAGUUGGUGAGGUAACGGCCCACCAAGGCGACGACGUGGAGCCGGCCUGAGAGGGUGAUCCCCCACACUGGUACUGAGACACGGACCUGACUCCUACUGGAGGCAACAGUGAGGAAUAUUGGUCAAUGGGUGCAAGCCUGAACAAGCCAUCCCGUGUGAAGGAUUAAGGUCCUAUGGAUUGUAAACUUCUUUUGUAUAGGGAUAAACCUACCCUCGUGAGGGUAGCUGAAGGUACUAUACGAAUAAGCACCGGCUAACUCCGUGCCAGCCGCCGCGGUAAAAC
rnacentral:rRNA from 1 species